GACGAACGCUGGCGGCGUGCUUAACACAUGCAAGUCGAACGAAGAGCGAUGGAAGCUUGCUUCUAUCAAUCUUAGUGGCGAACGGGUGAGUAACGCGUAAUCAACCUGCCCUUCAGAGGGGGACAACAGUUGGAAACGACUGCUAAUACCGCAUACGAUCCAAUCUCGGCAUCGAGGAUGGAUGAAAGGUGGCCUCUAUUUAUAAGCUAUCACUGAAGGAGGGGAUUGCGUCUGAUUAGCUAGUUGGAGGGGUAACGGCCCACCAAGGCGAUGAUCAGUAGCCGGUCUGAGAGGAUGAACGGCCACAUUGGGACUGAGACACGGCCCAGACUCCUACGGGAGGCAGCAGUGGGGAAUCUUCCGCAAUGGACGAAAGUCUGACGGAGCAACGCCGCGUGAGUGAUGACGGCCUUCGGGUUGUAAAGCUCUGUUAAUCGGGACGAAAGGUCCUCUUGCGAAUAGUUAGAGGAAUUGACGGUACCGGAAUAGAAAGCCACGGCUAACUACG
rnacentral:rRNA from 1 species